AACGAACGCUGGCGGCAGGCCUAACACAUGCAAGUCGAACGCCGUAGCAAUACGGAGUGGCAGACGGGUGAGUAACGCGUGGGAACAUACCCCUCGGUUCGGAAUAACUUAGGGAAACUUGAGCUAAUACCGGAUACGUCCGAGGUUUUAACCGGCCUCGGAGAAAGAUUUAUCGCCGGAGGAUUGGCCCGCGUCUGAUUAGCUUGUUGGUGAGGUAAUGGCUCACCAAGGCGACGAUCAGUAGCUGGUCUGAGAGGAUGAUCAGCCACAUUGGGGACUGAGACACGGCCCAAAACUCCUACGGGAGGCAGCAGUGGGGAAUAUUGGACAAUGGGCGAAAGCCUGAUCCAGCCAUGCCGCGUGAGUGAUGAA
rnacentral:rRNA from 1 species